rnacentral:lncRNA from 1 species
AUGCUUUCUUCCUUUCAGGCAUAACAAGCUCUCCAGAUUCAUAUUGCAUUUUCCCUACACCAGAGCUGGAAUCAGCUAGUCUCCAAAAGACACUGGUACCUUUCUAUGAGGAAUGGGUAUGUUGAAACCAAAAUCUGGAGUCCAAAGAUAUUUGCUGUUACUGAAGUAUCACUGGAAUCUAGACCUCUUCAGUAAACAUUGCUAAGGAAUAUACACUUUCAGUAUGAACUGUGAAAUGAAAACAGUGUUGUUUUUAGUAUUAUUGAUAAUUUUAGAAUAUAAUUCACAGCACUGAUUAUAUUUAGUCAAAAUGCCUUCAGUGCUGAUUAAUGAGGAGAAAAAUUGAUAUUUCUAAUUUGAAUCUAUCUUAUAGGGCUUUUGCCUAACUUCUUUUAUCUUUUUUUCUUUUACACUGAAUAUCUUGAUUCCUAAUGAUAUCAACAUAAUAUUGAUUAGCUUUAUCUUACAGUAUUAAAAAUUUUCAAAAUAACAACUGAAUUAAGUUUAAGAUCUUUGCAGUUCAUUUUGUUCUUAGACUAUAUAUCUCAUCAAAGAUAUCCAGUAAGAGUACCAAAUUCUAAAAUCAUUUCACUAUGACUGGAUCACUUUGUUGUUCCGCAGCAGACAUUAUCACAGCCUUUUACAUUUACUAUACUUCUAUAAAACAUAAAUAAAUGAAAUUAUUUCAAGUAAUUCUUUGUGUAAUUACUAAAACAAAAAUAUGUAUUUGUGUGUAUGUAUACAUAUAUGCUUUGAUAUGCAGUUAGAUUUGUUUAUUUCCAUUUGCUUUCAAUUCUAAAAUUUCCUUUUAAACAAGAUUUGUGUAUAAUUUUGAAAUAUGUAAAAUAUUUAUAUGGUUUAAAAGCCAAAACUGUAUAAAAGGGUAUCUUUGGAGACCUCUUGCUUCUUUUUCUGUCCCUUAAGAAUUCCACCUCACCUCUUUUAUUUAGUUUUUGGGUUCUUCUUCUAGUAUUUCCUUCAACAAAUAUAAACAAAAAGGUAUUUUUUAAAAAUGUAUCCACCUCUAAUUACACAGAUGGCAACAUACUAUAUAGAUUUUUCCCUCCUGUCAGUAGGUAGAAAUUGUCUUCAU